UAAAUUUUAAACCUAAUUAGAUUGGAUUAGUUUUUACCUUAUCACCCUCCGUAUUAUAAAUAUGUCAUUAUGAUUAGAGUUUUAGAAGGGACUUUUACGGUGGUUGAAAUUAGGAAAAAUUUGGACUAAUUUCUAGAUCUAUUAGUGUGUGGAAGAGUUUCUCUAUAGAAGUUUUCUUUCUCCUCAAAUUUCCGAAUCAUUCUUUACCUACAUUCACACACUAAUUACCUCAUUUAGUUAGCCUAAUUAAUCAAUUCACCAAAUUAUUUUCUUUUCUUUUCAACUCAUUCCUAAGCCCUUUUAGGUGCUAAA
rnacentral:misc_RNA from 1 species